UUAUUUACACAAUAAAGGUAAAAUAACCCACCGUUAUCAAUAUCACCUAGCUAAUAAAAGAAAGGUCUAUUGUCAGUUUAAUCUACAUACUGUACCUGCAGGUCCUCAUGCUUGAUGUGUGAACUGCUGAUUUUCAUAAUUACAACACACAAGCUAUGCAACAGGAUAUACUCAGUAGUAUUGAGAUUAAUGUAGUUUAACACAUAAUAUUUAUAUCAUAGUCACUGUUAAUUAAACCAUAUUUGAACAGGUGCACCUGUGGAGAGUGCAGGAUGAUGCCCACAGAGAUGGAAAGUGUGUGCUGCAAGCAGCUUAACGCCGUUCAGAAUAAAUGUCUGGAGCCUCCAGAGGAGCCACACUGCAUGACUCUUCAUCCAGGCCUUGAGCCUGUCUGCCUGAACUCCUACUCCCUGCAGAAUGCUCUGAACAUUUAUCAGACAGACCACGGACCGCUGGAGAUGAAAGAGAGAGCUGUGUAAACUCUGUUAGUCCAGUUAUUGGUAAUGAGUUACCACCAAUCCUGGGAGCGUGGAUUGACCCAGAUUCUCCCUAUAAGAAAGGCUUGACUUAACUUGUGUUUCUAUUUUGCUCUUUCAUUGUUGCACUUUUAUAUGAUAUUUGUACAUUACCUAUUCCUAAUGCACUGUAGCUUGAUUGUACCUUAUUGUAAGUCGCUUUGGAUAGCAGCGUCAGCUAAAUUACUUAAAUGUUAUAGGACUAUGGCUAAGCCUAACUGGCUGUAUGCAGCAAUGUUAGCACGAAUAAAAACUGUUGAUCAACUCUAUGAAUUAACUUCACACCUGGUCGGCCUUCUGUUGGCAUGCCAUUAGAAGGAGAGCUCUCCUUCGCAGCCUUCUUGUAGCACGUCUUCGUCGUUGUAAAAUGAAAAGCAUUGCAUCAUAAAACCGAUGUUGUAUCAAAUUCUCUCACUGCUCAAAAUGUUCUGCAAAUGUUUGUAACUGUAUGAACCAAAUCAAUACCAGGACCUUUUUGUCCAAUGAUUGAACGAUCUUCACUCGCGGCUUUGUUUACAAAUUCAAAAGUGCAAUGUGAAAACGAACUGCACCAAACCAAAAAAGAAACAUUGUAUUUGUUCUGUAUCUAAGAAAGUAAACUGAAGGACUUUCCUGGUGUGAAUACACCCUGAUAUAACUCCAUAUAGAUCUCAUCAUCAGGAAUGAUUUGGCUAACGGAAAAGUUUUACCAUCUCACGAAAUAAUUGAAAAUCUGAUUCCUGACAAAUCUGUUUCUGACCCCGCUGUGAGUGACAUAACGUCUUCUACUCCGGGGGCAGAGAGGUUGUAGAGCCUGGUUGUUGAAGGAGGGGCUGCAGGUAACAGUUCAAUGGAGCGGUCACACGGCCUUUGAGGAGGUAAUGCUCUCUCUCCCUUAACCUGUUUUCAAUCUUGAUCGCUAGCCCUAAUAGCUCCCGCAGGUCUCUAGUUUGAGCUGUCCCCACUAAACAGUCCUUUACAGCUUCGUUCAACCCUUUAAAAAAAAAAAACUUUGCAGUGCUCUGUCGUCCAACCCUAACUCUGCGGCUCGCAUCCGAGUAAUAAGCUGCAUUAUAGGGGCCCUGACGCAGGCUAAGUAGCUGGUUGCUAGAGUCACAGCUGGUAAUUGGGUGGUCAAAAACAGAUGUCAUGUCAUGUCAUGUAAAAUGGUCAAAAGGAGCAUUAGCAGUGAGUAGGCUAUGCCAAAAAGUGAUUUCUCAAGACCUAGCCCUCCCUGUGAGCAGACCCAGUACAUAAGCUAUCCUUGAUCUAUCGCUAAACGAGGCCAAAGAGGCCGGGGGCUAAUUCAGACGAGGAGUCCAUUAUCCCACAGAGAGUCUGGCUUAAACUUUUAAACUCUGAUUAAAAGAAAAGAUUAGUAUUUCACACUUGCAGAAUCUGCAGAAUACCUUUGAGUCAUCUCCCACCUGAGGUCGGAUCCAGUCCUUCAAUGCACUCUCUUUCUCCCACUCUUUAUUAUAUCUUUUUCCAUAUUUUGUGAAGUCUUUGUAGAGAGAGCCUUGAUCACGAAACAAGCUUCACCUGGCGAAUGAAACCAUGCCCACCACACUCAGGGACACAGACAGGGGAGAGAAACGACACAAACAUGGAGGGCUGCCGUGAUGUGAAUCAUGACAAAUCUAACUGAAUAAUAUCUUUGCACAGACUCAUUUUAAAUGUUAACAGACACUGAUGUACCUUACUAUAAGAAUGAUGCUGUGCAGCUGUAAUGCUACAGGCUUGAUUGUAUACACGUUUAUAUUCUUAUUCCUGCAUGGGCUCAUUCUGUCAAAUGUAGCUCAUUGUGUCUUCCUUACAGUCAUCUUGUUGCCUGGCAACAUGUGAUGUCAUAAUUAUGUGUACCAUUCUUCAUCUUUCAUACUCACAGACUCACACACUGCACGCCUGACGUUUUCCUUUUGUAAAUCAAUCUGUGACUCUGCUCGCUUCAAAGGUGCUGUAUAAAUAAAGCUAUUAUUAUUAAUAACGUC